GAUGAACGCUAGCGGCAGGCCUAACACAUGCAAGUAGAGGGACCGGAGCACGGUUGCGUAACGCGUAUCAAUCUAACUUGAAAAGGGAUCGCCCCAGAAAUUUGGAUUAAUACCUAUAUACAAGAUGGCAUGCGUCCCAUUAGUUAGUUGGUGUGUUACCGGCACAACAAGACGAUGAUGGGUAGUGGUCCUGAGAGGGAGAUCCCCCACACUGGUACUGAGACACGGACCAGACUCCUACAGGAGGCAGCAGUGAGGAAUAUUGGUCAAAGGUGGCAACUCUGAACCAGCCAGACCGCGUGCAGGAUGAUGGUCUAUUGAUCGUAAACUGCUUUUAUAGGGAAGCGGUACCUAAGAAUAAGGAUCGGCUAACGCCGUGCCAGCAGCCGCGGUAAUUC
rnacentral:rRNA from 1 species